rnacentral:rRNA from 1 species
GACAGAGGGUGCAAACGUUGUUCGGAAUUACUGGGCGUAAAGCGCGUGUAGGCGGCCCGGAAAGUCGGAUGUGAAAGCCCUGGGCUUAACCUAGGAAGUGCAUUCGAAACUCCCGGGCUUGAGUUCUGGAGAGGAAGGCGGAAUUCUCGGUGUAGAGGUGAAAUUCGUAGAUAUCGAGAGGAACACCGGUGGCGAAGGCGGCCUUCUGGACAGUGACUGACGCUGAGACGCGAAAAGCGUGGGGAGCAACAGG